rnacentral:piRNA from 1 species
UGCCAUGGAAAGAUGAUCAGCAGAAAG